rnacentral:rRNA from 1 species
UACGGAGGGUGCGAACGUUAAUCGGAAUCACUGGGCGUAAAGCGCGCGUAGGCGGUUUGCUAAGUGGGAUGUGAAAUCCCCGGGCUUAACCUGGGAAUUGCAUUUCAAACUGGCCGACUAGAGUACGGUAGAGGGGGAUGGAAUUCCGCGUGUAGCAGUGAAAUGCGUAGAUAUGCGGAGGAACACCGAUGGCGAAGGCAAUCCCCUGGGCCUGCACUGACGCUCAUGCACGAAAGCGUGGGGAGCAAACAGG